ACGGGGUGUGGGAGCUGGGGCGGGGGAGGCUGUCGGGGCCAUGUGCCAGGAGUUUUGCAGCUGGAUUCACAUGUGCUGUCUCACUGCGCGUAGGCAAAAGUCAGCUUUCCAGGGCUGCUGGAGCUCCUCGCCGGCUGGAAGUGCCGCGGCCGAUGAGGGGGCUCCUGGUGCCCUGGUGAGAGCCGCUGAGGACAGAGCGCGCCACAGAGGCAGCGGGCCUUCUGGGAGGGGCCCCGGGGCCUUGUCGCCAGCAGAGAGGGACCUGGGGAUCACACGCGCUUUCUCUCUCGCCCUCCGUGGCCACGACUCCUACUGGUGCCGUGAGCCCUGCUGACUCCUGAGCCCAGCUACAUGGCGCACUGUGUGUGUGCCCUGUGCUGAGAGACAGGUCCUGUGGUUCUCCCUAGUUCCCUGCUUGGGAAAAGGAGGUUCAGAGGGGCAGAGCGGUUUGCCGGGGGCAUCGAGCCAGUGACGAGCAGAAUUGGGAUUCGAACCCAGGACCCAACCUAUACUCCUUACCACUGUGAGUGUUCUCCACUGCCUGUGUUAGGGCUGGGACUUGUCUUGUUUCUGCAUUUCCCUAAAGUCCCAGCCCCUGGUCCUGCAGGAGAGACAGGCCUGGGACACAGGAGGACUGAGUUCAGCUGUACCGGGAAUGCUUGUGAACUCCCUUCUUAGGAAGUAGAUCAAGAAAAACAGCGCCCGCCCUCCCCCAAAACUGGAGGCAAGCGGGCAAGGAGGCCGAGGACGCGUGGGUUCUUUCUUCUCACUUGGAGGAAUUCUGCCAGAGGAGCUGCUCUGCGCGCAGGGAAUGAGGAGGUCCCUGUGGCUGCCCGGGUCCUCCUCCUUCAGGGAGGAGAGGAAGGUACCCUGCUCCCUGUUCCCGGGGUCCCGGCCACACUGUGAGACGCUCAGCAGAGAGCUCCCCUGGCCCCAGAAUGCCAGCCAUCGCUUUGUACUUGCCUCCUCUCCUUGAGUAAAAUGCGAUGAUUUACUUACCUGCCACCUUGUUCUGACGAGGAGUUGAGACGAUGUACAACACAGGCCAGGAGUGACCAGACUAAGCCAAUGCAAACAGUUUUAAUGAGGCUUAAAGAAUAUUGUGGGUGACACGUGUGCAGUCCAUGAGCUGCCAGCAAAGUGGUGAGCGCGAGUUGUGACUAAGAGCCUCCUGGGAGGCAAGGCAAAAAGAGGAAGUAUGCUUCGUUGACCUGGCGGGAGCGUGGGGGAGAUUGUUCUGCCCUGCUGUGCAAUCUGGAAGACUGGUCCCGUGGGACUGUGCCCAGCAUGGGCAGAGGCUCCGAGCGGUGCUGAGAGUCCUCGGGAGCUGCUGGCCGACGCUGGAGGAGGCUGCAGGGGAGGCCCUCUGGAGGGGACCCUGCGCACUGCGCAGUCCCUGUGACGUGUUUCCUGAUGGCAGGGUGACACCGCCCAUGGCCCCCCGCCCAGCCCACUGAGAGUGAGUAUGCUGGCUUGGGUUUGUGAGAGGGGUCAUUUUGUUCUCAAACUGUUUUUCAAAUUUCUCCUGUCCACUGGUUGAAUUUCCAGGCCCCAGAGUCGGUGGGACAAGGAUGAAACCACCUCCGUGCCGGCCAUCUGACCGUCCUGCCCCCUCAGAGAGCUCUGGGUCAAUUCGCCGUGAACUCACUCGGAGGCGACGCCACCAGCGUCUCCCGCCCUGUGCCUUUGAUGCGUGUCCUGUGCUUGCCUGUGGGUGCUGAGAGCUGAGAGGAGUGGAGACCCACUGGCAGUCACGAGCUCCAUCUCUCCGGCGUCGUGAGGACUCCUUCACCCCGCAGAGGCCAUCCUUCUGUGCUUAUGUUUAUUUGCAGGUAGGGAUAGGGGCGGGUCCUUCCCCCUUCUGUGCUCCAGCCUCAAGCCAGCCCAGCUAAGGCCCUUGAGCUCUGGGCUGAGACGAGUCACCUGAGCUCCCUGCAGCCCAGUCUCCCCAUCUGGGCCAGCUGGCCAGCCCGCAGCAGUUGUCUUCCUGUCUUCCUCUUCCACUGAUCUGCUGGACCACCUCCCCCCGCCACCACAUCCUUGGAAAAGAGGCAGCCAUCCUGGCCCCACGUGCCUCCCUCCUGGCGUGGUGUGAGGUAGCGGAGAAGUCUUUGACCUGUUGUUUACGCAGGUGCACGGGCAUGUGUGCAUGUGUCUGUGUAAGUGUGCUUGUGCCCAUGUGAAGCAGUCGCAGCUGGAGGUGUUAACACCUGAGUGCUCCCAGGAUGCUCUGUCGUAGGUGAACUGUUACAGUCGCAGAGGGGCGGGCGGCUGCCGGAGCGAGUCUUGUGGGUUCUUUUCCUCAGCUUAGUAUAGAAAUAAAAAGCCGGGAGACAGUUAGCAAAGAGGCAGAAACUUUUAUUAGACAGAAAAGAAACUUUUGUUUCAUAGGCAAGCGACACUGGCUCUGAGGAAGUGCCCGGGUCUUUAAGGCAUUACUGUCAUUCUGUAGGGGUGCCCAUUGGACAGGGCUUUCACAUGCUGUGUGCUGAUUGGCUUGGGGCUCAUGAGCUAGCAGGAGUCUCCUGGAGACAGUCUGCCUCUCCCCAGGGGCUCAGCCCCCUCCUCUGCCAACUCUGGGUGAAAGAUUGCAGCCACCUGAGGGAGGGAUUUAAAGUGGCAAGGUCACGCAUGCAACGCAAGAAGCUGUUGGUGGGGGAAAUGCCGAUCAGUCAGUCGGUCUGGAGACAACUUUCCAGCCCCAGCCGGCAGCCUGCCUGUGAAGGAUGUUCUACCCAGGUCUGGGGGCCCACAGACUCCCCACCCCCAGCUUCAGGAGCUCCCAUCCGUUCUGGCCCUCGGGCAGCAUGGUGCACCCACCCCCAUCCACCUGGAUACUCUGAUUCUGAGUCAAACGAUUAUUCCUGUGAGACUAUUCAAAGCCUCUUCCCUCCCUCCCCCCGGCCUUAGCUGCAAGCUCUCCGUCCUUUCUCUUUCCUGUUCAUCGAGACUGUCCGUACGGAGUGGGGAAGAAGCAGAGGAGCAGGGCUGGGCAUAUGAGCAGUGAAGAAGCUGAGUUCGUCCCCCAGACAAGGAGGGAAAAGAGGGAGCGAGAGCAAGGUGGGGAGGAGAAAGAGAACUCUCUGGGGAAGAUGUCAGGGAAGUUUUGCAGAGUUUGGGUGCAGAGUAGAGUGUGAGAGCUGGAGAGAGAGGCUUUGGGCAGCUGCACAGCAGCAGAGCGCUGGAAACGGAGAGAUCGACGCAGGGCGCAGGGACUUUGUUGCUGUGGUUUACAAAGCUGAUGUCACUUUAUGACCCAAAUAAUAUUCUUCAUCUCAUCAAAGGCAGCUCGGAUCAUAAAUCUCAUCUUUGUUGUUUGCACAAGUACAAAGGCAAAUAACACUGCCAGUUAAACUCUACUGUGCUAAUCAUUUGUGAGAUGCAUCUGGGUUUCAGGAAUGUUAAAAAAGGAAAAAAUGAGACCAGCACCGCGGCUCACUAGGCUAAUCCUCUGCCUGUGGCACCGACACACCAGGUUCUAGUCCCGGUUGGGGCACCAGAUUCUGUCCCAGUUGUCCCUCUUCCAGUCCAGCUCUCUGCUGUGGCCAGGGAGUGCAGUGGAGGAUGGCCCAAGUGCUUGGGCCCUGCACCUGCAUGGGAGACCAGGAAAAGCACCUGGCUCCUGGCUUCGGAUUGGCACAGCUCGCCAGCCACAGUGCGCCGGCCUUAGUAGCCAUUUGGGGGGUGAAGCAACAGAAAAGGAAGACCUUUCUCUCUCUCUCUCUCACUGUCUAAAAUCUGUCAAAAAAAAAAAAGAAAAAAUUGUGUGUUUAAGAUGUAUGAAUAUAGCACCAUUGCUUUACAUUUUUAAAAUGGAACAGUGUGCUGGGACUGGACUGUGUGGAGCUCUUAAAGGUAUUCAUUUUUUUUUUUUUUCAAAAAGAGAUUUAUUUGAAGGGGCAGCAGAGAGAGAGAGAGAGAGAGAGAGAGAAUAUGUUCCAUCCCCUGGCUCAUUCCCCAGAUGUCUGCAUUGGCUGGGACUGGGCCAGGCCAAAGCCAGGAAACUGGAACUCCAUCCGAGUCUCCCCUGUGGGUGGAAGGAACCCAAGAAAUUGGCCAUCUUCUGCUGUUUUCCUGGGUGCAUUAGCAGCAAGCUGGGUUGGAAGCCAAGUGGCUUGAACUUGAACUGGUGCUCCAGUAUGGACUGUGGGGCCCAAGUGGCAGCUUAACCCACUGCACCACAAGGCCGGCCCCUUCCAUGCACUGGGAGUCCCAUGGUGUGCAUGUCGGUCUCCUUGCCCCCACCCUGUGCUCUCUGACCUGACUCAAGGAGGAACUCAGUUACUCAAGUUUUGUGGAGCAAUCGUAUCCUGUCAGGGGGCUGCAGCCAAGUGCUCUCCAUAAGUCUGCAUAGAUUUUUUCCACUGUAACGACAUUCUGAAAGCUGGAUGGAGAAACAGCUGCACGUGCACGCUCGCACCCACCCCGCAUCCGCGUGCCCACACCACAGUCUGGACAUCUGGGUGGUCACAGGGACUGGAUGUGAGGCCCCUGAGAAUGCUGGCCUUCAGGAUGGCGUUGGUGCCAGUAGCGUACGGAUUGCUCUGAUUAUCCGAGGCUCUUGAGGAAAGCGUGACAAGAACACAGGACACAAAGAGCACGUUUGUGCAUGCAUGCGCGGGGGCGGUUUGCGGUGGUUUUAGAAAGAAAUGUGGCAGUGAUUGAGAGCAUGAGACAGGUCCGAUUGACGGUGGGGAGAAAGAGGCUUUAUGGCGGAGCCCCCAGAGACUGCCACCAUUUACAGCACGCGCAGAGGAGCCCGAGAAAUGGCUGCUGGAGAAUUCGGAGGAAGUGUGGGCAAGUGGUACAUCCAGGAGACCCAAGAAAGUGGGCACUGCAAGAAGGGGGAGUUUGGGUCACCAGACUGAAUGCUCGUGCGAGGUUCGAGUAGCCGAGCUUAUCAGCAACUCUGAUUGCCCGCGCGCAUAGAAGGUGCAGAGUUGUAAGUGAGAAGAGUGGAGAAGCCUCGCCUGGUAGAACUGCGUGUGAGAGUGUCGUGUGACACCUGGGAUGCCUGGCGGCCAUAGUGAUUCACGCCGACUUGUGGGUGGUCUGCACAGCCAUUCUCCAUCUCCAGCUUCUGCUCUGGGAGUCCCCCCAGCCCUUCCCCACCGAUUGUCUCUGAAGAUCCACUGGGCUCCCAUUCUCGAGUCGAGCCUGACCAAGUUAGGAAACACCUAAAGACAGGACUCCCUGCUGUUGUCGAAAGGAAUUUCAGAAAUGCCCAGCCCUGCAGACACGCACACAAGCUGACCAAGCCUGGCCUGCUCACUGAUCCUGCCUGCUGAGUUAAUGAGCUGCCAUAGUGGCUGCAGAACUGGUACCCUCUGACAGGGCUCCUGCCCGGGAACCUUCUGCUCAGCUGUAAUCCAUUCACCUGCCCAGUGCGAGCCUCAGACUCCCCCAGGAAAGAGCCCAGAUCCUGGCCCCGGCACUUAUCUCUUCCCUCUUCUUCCUGCAAGAAAACCACUGCUUCUUACGGAGACGCAUGGCCUGGAGUUUGGACGGGUUGGUCUGUUCCGCCCUCCUCAGCGAGCUGCUCAUGUGGGCCAGGUGAUCAGAGUGCCUUAUCCUCCGUUGCACAGCGAUCGAUCUGGGGAGAGGCGCAUGACCCAAAUGAGCCCAUCAAAAUUUUCCCCGUGGGGCAGGCUUUUGGCAUAAUAGUUACAGUACUGCUUGGGAUGGCCACAUCUCAUAUUGGAGCGCCUGGGUCCAAGUCCUGGCUCUGCUUCUGACACCAACUUCCAGCUGGUACAUAGGUUGGGAGGCAACAGGUGAUAGCUCAAAUAAUUAGGUCCCUGCCACCCAUGUAGAAGACCUAGAUGGAGUUUGCAGCUCCUGGCUUCAGCCUGGCCGAACCCCAGAUGUUGUGCACAUCUGGGACAUGUACCAGCAAAUGGGAGUAUAUCUCUCUGCCCUUCAAAUGAGUAAAAUAAAUUUAAAAUUUAUUAAAAGCAAUCUUCCCUUGCUAGCUCUAAGUCAAAGUGUUUCUGUAAGUGUGGUCUGGAGAUCUCUGUAUGAGGCCAAAGCUAUUUUUAUAACCGUACUGAGCUUUUACUUGCCCUUUUUUUUUUUUUUACUGUGUUGACGUUUUGCACUAAUGGUGCAAAAACAAGGGUGGGUAAGAUUCCUGGCACCUUUGCUUUUGAGUGGGAAGGAGCUCAGAUACAGGGAGCUGAGCAGUAGUCAUGUGGCACCCAGGCUGUCCUUACCUUGUCCUGGUGUGUCACUGGUCCGUCACCUCCAGGGCACCAUGGAUAACUAGGAAGUCUACAGGAGUGGUCCCACCAGAAUGGUUCAUUGCACAACCUACACGGCCACACUCAAAAGUCCUAAAAACUGUAGUCCCCAAACUGUGUUCUGUGUUCCUCUGAUGCCACACGAUGCCCCUCACGGAAGGAUGCCAUAGUUAAAUAUGCUUGGCAAGACUGCGUUCUGUAAUUCCCUCCCUUGGAGAUUAUCAGUGGCUAUCUGCACUCCCACGGGUCUCACAGUGACAUAACCUAUUUUCUUUAUUAAAUCUUUCUUUCCCCAACUAUUUUACCAUGCAAUCAUUUUGAUUCUAGAAAUAGUUACAAUAUGCCAUGGACUAUGGGCUUUAGCAUAGAACUUUUGGACUGUACAGUCGGCCCUCUGUGAGUUCUGCAUCUGAGGAUUCAACCAACCAUGGACUGAAAACAUUAAAAAGAAAAGGUGCAGGGGCUGCUAGCAUGGUGCAGAAGGUUAAGCCACAGCCUGAGACACUGGCAUCCCACAUGAGCACUGGUUCAAGUCCCAGCUGCUCCACUUCUGAUCCAGUUCCCUGCUAAUGCACCUGGGGAAGCAGUGGAAGAUGGCCCUAAUUCUUGGGCCCCUACCACCCACUUGGGAGACCCAGUUAGAGUUCAGGCUCCUGGUUUUGGCCUGGUCCUGUCCUGGCCAUUGCAGCCAUCUGGGAAAUGAACCAGCAGAUGGAAGAUUUCUGUCUGUAACUCUGCCUUUCAAAUUAAAUAAAUAAAUCUUAAAAAAAAAGAGUGCAUGUAUUGAAUAGGUACAUGUUUUCUUGUCUGCAAAAAAUGUUUAUUCUCUAAACAAUAAGGAUAAUAACUUUAUAUAGUAUUUACCUUGUAUUAGUUAUUACAUCUAGAGAUGAUUUAAAGUAGGAUGAUGUAUAGGAUGAUAUGUAUAGGUUCUAUGCAAAUACAGCACUGGUUUUCACAGGGGACUUGAGCAUCCUCAAGACUUUGGUAUGCAUGGGGUCUUGGAGCCCACCCCCAACAGGUAUUGAGGGAGGAUAUGCUUUAAACUCCAUGAGACCGGGAACUGUGCUUGUCUUAUUCUCCACAGUAUACUCAGGGCCUGAUAGAGUGCCUGACACAUCACAGAUCCUUGAAAAACCCGUUGAAUAAAUUAAAGGGUCAAUGAUUGAUGGAUGCUUUCACUAGUCCCUGAUCCCCUUAAGAUUCUCUAUGUUUACAAAAACUGAGGUCCUUGUAGUGCAUUAUUUAUGUUGUUUUGCCAGCAAUAAAUUUUGUGCUCUUGUCUCCCGAAAAUGAUACGUUUUUCAGGAUGCAAUGACAUUUAGGUAUUUAAAUUUGUUCCCUCUGUGUGCGAGGCUGGGCAAGCACAACUGUUUCCCAUUAAGCCAGUCCUCUGAGGCCUCCCUCCUCUCUGCGGUCUGGGCUGGAGAAGCAGCACAGGCGAGCCCUUCCCAGCGGUUUUCAUGUGGUUGACAAAGAGCGAACGCUGGCCUUGGAGGAGGAAGGGCCAAUGGCAGCUCAACCCCGCUCUGCGAUUCUGGGCGGCUGAGCAAUAAAGGCGGCCCCGGAGCUCUGCCCGGGAGCGGGCGGGCUCAGCCUUUGUUCCUGCCUUCAGAAGGAAGGGCACCAAGGAAGGGAGACACAGUGUCUUGGAAACCCCAUGGUUUUAGAAAAUGCAUGAUUUGAGGGACUGAGGAGAGAGAGAGCGAAUUAGAAUAUCCUAUACUCUAUUAUAUUCAAUUGCAUAUUAUCUUCAAUUGCAGGGGUUGAUAAACUACAGCUCAAAGGCAAACAUAGGCCACUGCCUAUUUUUCUAUUACCCCAAGAUAAGAAUCACUGAAAAAAAUUCAAACGAAAUUACAUUAUGGCCUGUGCAAGUUAUAUGGCAUUCAACGUUCAUUUUCAAAGAUGAAAUACAGAGACCAGCGCUGUGGGGUAGUCGGCUGAGCUUCUUCCUACAGCACCAGCAUCCCAUACGGGCACUGGUUCGAGUCUCAGCCGCUCCACUUCUGAUCCAGCUCUCUGCAAUGGCCUGGGAAAGCAGUGGAAGAUGGCUCAAGUCCUUGGGCUCCUGUACCCACAUGGGAGACCUGGAGGAAGCUCCUGGCUCCUGGCUCCUGGCUCCUGGCUUCAGAUUGGCCCAGCUCUGGCUGUUGUGGCCAUUUGGGGAAGUGAACCAGUAGAUGGAAGACCUUUCUCUCUGACUCUCCCUCUCUCUGUAACUCUACCUUUCAAAUAAAUAGAUAAAUAAAUAAAUAAAACCUAAAAAAAAGAUGAAAUGCAUAAAAUCCCAUUUCACAUCAACAUUAAUGGAUGAAUAUUUGCAAUAGAUUUUUAUUAUAGAAGAUACCGUUUAAAAUUGUGUUUAUCUGAAAUAGAGACAGAAACAGAGAAAGCUCUCAUCCACUAGUUUACUACCUGGAUGCCCACAUAGUGGGCACUGGGGAGCUAGGAGCUGGCAACUCCAUCCAUGUCUCCCAUAUAAAUGGCAGGAGCCCAAGCACUUGAACCAUCAUGGCUGCCUCCUAUGGUCUCCCUCAGCAGGAAGCUGGAGUCAUGUACUGGAGGCAGGCAUCAAACCCAGGCUCCCUGAUCAGGGACACGGGUGUCUUAACCGCAGGGUCAAAUGCCCCAGUGGAAGAUGCUUUGAACCCCAAUUAAGCAGAAUAAUAUUCCUCAGAGAAUUAUUUCAUCCUUUUCAUUAGGAGAGCUGCAUUAUAAAAGCAAACUAUACUCAUUACAUUUUAAACUUCAGCACUAAGAACCUCAUAGAAAUUUGUAUUCUGUCUUGCUUUUUAAGUGCCUCUAUAUUAGUCUCAAUUUUGCCUUUUGCCCACAAAGCCUAAAAUGUUUCCUAGCUGAUCAUUCUCACACACACACACACACACACACACACACACAAAGAAAGAAAAGAAAAGAAAAGAAAAGAAAAAGAAAAAGGGCUGCAGCUAAGUGGCUUAUCUGCGAUGGCUUCAGCCGUCAUACAUGUCUGAGGAGAGGAAAGUCUCAGUAGAUUCACCCAGUAUUCAUUUAGUCACCAGACUUUAGGGAGCCCUCUUUGGACCAGGCCCUCAGUAUGUCCGACUGGCAGACAAAGCAGAUGUGCAGACAGGCCGCUGCCUUUGGGGAGCUGAUCCCGAGGCUGGACCACGGACCUAGCCUGCAGGUACGUGUCCAUGGGAUGAUGAGUCAGAGUGGCCCCCCACAGCGUGGGAAUUUCAUGUGUGUCAGCUUGUCAGUGGGUCACCUUGGGCAGCGCACGGCUGCCCAGAGGCGCUCUGUGUGAGGCGUUGCGGAAGGGCGUAGAAGGAAGCAGGAUCAGGUGAGCAGCAUGAGACUGGCAGUGGGGAAGCCAAGUCCAGAAUGUCAACCAGGACAGGGUGGCCCUCCUGUUGACUCAGGCAGGAGGCCAGGGAGUGAGCCAGGAGCAGCACAGGCGAUACAAAACAAGGAGAGUGGCGGCCAGCGCUCAGGCCGUGUUCACAUCGCUGCAGAGGGGGCGGCCGAGGCACCGUGGCCUCCCAGGGCUCGAGGCCGCCUGAGCGCAGCAAGGACGCUGGGAUUGUCCUCCCACAACGCUGAGGAGUUUCCAGGCUUGGCUCCACUCCUUGAGGAAUUUCUCUUUGGCUGCAGCCUUCAGAGGGGUCCACAGUAAUUUCCUCCAGUCCCCGCAGAAAAUGUGUAUGUAGAUCCAGCCACAGGCAUUGUCUUUUUCACAUCCUAUAGUUGAGGAAAAUGGCACAAAUGGGAAACUGAGGCACCCAAGGCUGUUGAAGCCACAACCCUUUUGGUCUGGGGUGGUAGUGGAGAGGGGCUGUUCCACCUUCUGUCUCUAGGUUGGCAGGUGGCAAACCUCACCUUGGCUGUGUAACCUUCUCUCAAAGAGAAAAGCAGCUCAUAGAGGCCAUCGGUGAUGACCCCCAUAGGAUCCUGGGGCUCCAGGAACAGGGCCAAAGUUGGAAGCAGAGUGCCUCCCCGUGACCUCCAUGCAGCUUACCCCAGGCCCCUCUGCUGCCAGAAAUCACCCAAGAAGUGGAGCCAGGGCUGGUCAUAGAUUCAUUCCUGCUCUCUGGGUUCCUAAGAGCCCCGAUAGGUUCCUGGAAGCUAACCCUAUUUUUGCUAAUCCUACAUCCUGGACACGGCCUUGCAAUGUGGAAAGGACAUUGGCUCUGGGGCCAAGUGAACCUCUCCUGGAGUCCUGGUUCUGCUAUUCUGCAGCAGCUCUGUCGUUUAACCUUGGCAGGUGACACUUGAGUAAACUCAUUAAACUUAGUGUAGAGCAGAGGUAAUGGCACCUGUUGGAAGGAUAAGCAAAGAGGGAAGUCACAGCCCUCUCGUUCACCAAUCGAGUGCCCUCCCCAAACAUGCAUCAUUAAUGCUCUGGUUUAAAUAUUUCCAGACUUCUUUCUAGGUUCGCACUAACACAAACAUGAAUGUAUACACAUGUGUAAAUUUAGAAGCAGAAUAUAAGUGUACACACUAGCCUGAAACUCACUUUAGUUCUAUUCAACAACAUGUAUACGUCAUUUCAAGGCAACGUGAAGUAAAGUAUUACUCUUUUACUAACUUCUUAAUAUUUCCUAACGUGGUAAUUGACAAACCUAGUGAUGGAUAUUUAGCUUGUUCAAAUGUUUUUUCCAUCACAAACCUUGCUGUAAUGGACCUGCGUGUUUAUACAUCUGUGUUAACAUUUCUGUAAGAGAGAGUCCUGGAAGUGAGAAGGCUGGGUCAAAAAGUAUACACACAACACAUUUGAGUGGAUUCUACUGAACUGCUUUCCUGCCCAAGUUGUACCCAUCUGCAGUGUCUGACAGGACUCACUUCCAUGCAUCCUUGCAAGCACCGAACUCUGUUAAUUUUUAAUUUUUUGCAUUUCCCUGAUAAUAAGUCAAACGUCUUUUCAUGUUUACUGACCAUGUGCCUUCUUGCUCUGAAUUCUUCAUUUAUAUCCCUUGCCCAUUUUUCUGUUUGCAUGUUUGAGCUGUUCUUAACUUGUAUGCGCUCUUUGUGCAUUAAGCACGGACAGCUGUUGCCAGCGAGAAAAGACCCUGUUCUGAACCACCGAGUCUGAAGCAGGUGUUGCAUGCCAGAGGCCUGGGCUCGCCACAUAGAUGUUGCAAAUAUUUCCCCAAGUUACCAUUCUUCUUUUAUUUGAUCUGUGCUGUCUUUAGGAGUUUAAAACGUUUCAGUAUUCAGAUCUGUCAUUUUCUCUUCUGGCUUCUUGGUUUCCUGUCUUGCUUAAGCAGCCUCCCAUCCUGAUAUUAUGUUGGUAGUCUUUUCUGUUUUCUUGUAAUACGUUUAUGGUUUCAUUUAUUUAUAUGCAUGUCUUGAAUAGUUCAGCUGAUCUGAGUAGAGGCAGAAUUCAUAGUUCCAGUGUAGCUGAUGUGUUUCUGAGGCUUUUUUUCCUCAUCUCUCCCCAUGCAUGAGGGAGACCAUCAUUUUUUGAGGUGCAGUAGUCAGUGCAGUCCUACUAAUGUUCUCAUAUUUAUGAACAAUUCCGCGGCUUAACACCCCCUAGUAAUACCAGUGUUAAUAUCGGUGAUUUCUUUGUGAUGGUGCUGCAGAUACUUUUAUUUUUCCCCCUUCUCAUCUGUAGUUUCUCAUUUUUCAACAAAAUUGAAGCAUAUUCUCAGCAUGAAAACCAAGAAAACAGGAUACAGAGAAAUCUAAGGGGCUUUUUUCUGAGUAAAAGAGAUAGAUGUGGAGUCACUUAUCCCACUCUCUAAGGAUCUUUUGGGAUUUUCUUCCAAGUUUCCUCGUUGACUAGGGCAUUAUUGCACUAGCCCCACUUCACAGAUGAGAAAAUUGAUGCCUAUGAGAGAGGACGACUUGGUCAAGGCCACAUGGCAGGUGAGUGACAGAACAAGCACUGAGCCUGGGUGUCUUCCUCAACUCUGGCCCUGUCUGGUUAGGCGUUGGUAAGUGUGGCUCAGGCAGAGCUCACCAGGGCCUCUCCGGGAUUUCUUGCUAGACGGGUGGGUCAGCUGGAGACCCUGUCUCUCUGGGAGGAUUAGCUGACUCCACUACCCACCUGGAUCACUUCUGCUAAUGACACAGCCCCCUCUCCCGCCCUCCCCCAUCGUCAGAAAUAAGAGUCUGGCAAACAGCUGUGUUUACCUCCAGCGACUAGUGUAGGGCUGCUGGGUCCUGGAGGGGAUUGUUCAAGCUUAUCUUCUCCAGAUAGCAAUGUGCUGAGGGCUGCACAAUCUGCUGACCCAGAUUGAAAUCAGCUGCAAAACACGAGAGUCCUAAACACACACAUACAGCUCCUCAGCCAACUGCAGCCAACGGCGGCUGGGUGGCCCCUCCCCUCCUCAACAGGCCGACUCCAUCCCAGAAUGCUUAGGGCAAGCCUCCAAGGGGACGCUAGGCACCUGCCUCCUGUCCUACAUGCCUCAUUCUCAUGUUUUCAGUGUAGGAGACAGCCGGGAGAGAUUGGUGGGAGAAGAGAGAGAGAGAGAGAGAGAGAGAGAAGCAGACUACAGAAGCUUCAGAUCCAGGAACAAAGGGCAGCCUUGGACCACUGCACAAUUUUAUGCAGAUCCUGAGGUCCUUCCUCUGGGCACAAAGCCCUGGUGAAACUGGUGGGAAUGUUGUCUGUUUUUAGGCAAUCUAUAGUUUGGCUGUUCUGGAUGGUGGAGGACAAACAGAAUGCCCCAGCCCCGGCUCUGACGGGCCCACUGCCUGGUCAGAAGCACCCCAUGGCUUCCGAUAGUUGGCCCUGUAAAGUCCAAAAGAUCUUUGAGACCCUUGAGGGACUGGUUCCAGGUCUACCUUCCUCCUCAGCCUGGCGUCUCUCUGCCUUCAACCCCCACAGUCUUUGAUCUGUAACCCUCCUAUGCACUUAUCACUCCCUGCUGCAGCAGUAUUUGCUUUUGAGAGCUUUAUCAUUCUUACUUCCCCAGUCUGUGUUCCUUGGGGGCCAGGCCCAGGCUUGUUUAUCUUUGUACCUCUGAGCCCUGAAUGCGAUAUGCAUGUGGGGGUGCUCAGGAACCUUUGUGGCCUUAAACCGGGAACUGUCCCACAGGGCAGAGCUCAGCCUGAGAGGCGGCAAGGCCCCCCAGGUCCCCACUGUGCAUGAGCAGGAAGGACACCUUUUGCCCCAACCCGCAGAGAAUACAUUUCAGCCGGAAACCUCCAGGUCACGUGGUCCAGCGCCUUCGUUUCAGACAGGCUAAGCGCCUGGCUGGGGAUGGGAGAUGUCACUUGGCUGAAGUCAGGUCGGGGGUGGUGGGGCUGGGGUGUAAACCUAGGUCUGCCUGACUUGGAAGGAGCCCACAGAGUCAGCCCCCGACGUCUCGCUGCUGGCUUCCCAGAAGAGGGCUCUGUCUUGCCAGGCCUGGGAGGGUUUCGGCACGGUGGCAGGCAGUACCUGGCUCCGAGCCACCCCCAGCCCUCUGGCCAGAGACGCUGUUUGAGAACUCUGCCUGCGCGUGGCCUGGAAGCCAGCUUCCCCAGCUGGGUCUUUCCACAGAAGGCCGGUCAGCCAGGUACCAGAACAGCACACGGAGCCUUUGUCCAGGGUGCAGGGUGUUUUCCAGUGUGGGGUUUGUGUUGGCUGUACUGACGGGGCAAGGGAAGUGGAGGCCUCUAGCCCGCUGCCAGCAGGGCUCCACGCCAAGAGGGCAAUGGGCAGGAGGGGGGAACGGGCCAGAGGCACCCCACUGGGAACGUGGGAGGAGACGGCCAGGGCGGCAGGGAGGGCACUGGGCUGGGGACCCCUGAGCUCACGCUGGGUUUUGCGUUGCAGAAACAGCUCAGACUCACAGAGCAGUUCCGCCGCCAGCUGUGCCCUCUAGGCUUGUGCGGCUCUGGACAGUUUUUUCCAAGCCUCAGCUUCCUCCUUGGUUGUGUGAGUGGGGGUCAUAGCAGUAUCUUGGUGGGCACCAUGAGGACCAGAGGCAUGGCCCGCAGUAGUUGCUCAAUAAGUGGUGGAGUCCCUGUGAAUUUUUGUAAGCAUUCCCACACUUCCCAAAUUUACACACUAAUGAAAGGUCAGGCUGUGGAGAACACCCAGGCCAUGGUGUCAAAUGACUGUGGACUGCGAAAAGGAACCAAAAUCGCCAGGAGUAGACCCGCGUUGAGAGGAACUCUGGCCCAGAAACAGCUGGGGGCAGACAAUCUGUUUUUAGUUAGGGAGCAGCCUGGAAGGUCUGUAAAACUCUCCCAGUGUGGUCGCCGUGUCCUGAGUGUUCUAUGCUUAGCCUGGGUAUGGGCGUGAGUGCUGCGUAAGUGUGCGGUGGCUGCGACGUCCGUGUGGUGCGCCUGUGGCGUGUGUUAUGUGGAGGCCUGUGCUUCCCACCUUUCAUAACAUUCAGGAGAGGGAGAAGAGAAACAGACGUAUUAUGUAAAUGCGUGAUCUCUUUGUCUCUCUUUUCCUAUAAUGCUCCCAGUGGCUCCCACUCAAAGAGCCCCAGUUGUCCCAGCUGCUCCUGCUGGUGAGUGGCACAGGCCCACCCUGCACCUAGGUCUUCCUGGUGAGAGCAGGCGUUGGUUCCUGAGAGGAGGAAGGCGCACAGGCAGAGGCAGGGUUGUGUUCUCUGAUCUUCAGGCAGCUUUGCCUGGGACGUGUCACCCGGAUGGCUGCACCCUGCUCUCGCUCCCAGUCCUGCAACUUCCUGCACAGCUUGUUGCCGCUCGGGUUUGACUUUUGUCAGCUCUUCCUUUGAAGGAGGCCUCAAGCCAGUGAAGCGGUCUCAGCGAGGGAAGAAGCAGCUCCGUGGCUCGGGCCUGGCUCCUGGGCCAGCCCAGGACGGUCGGAGCAUCAGCCUACACCUUAGUUUGCACAUUCUGCUGGGGUCCCUGGAGGUCUCUGGCUUGCUGCCGUUCCUGGGACGCCCCCACAAGCUGCCUCAGUUCCCCUCCUGGCGUGCUCGCCCCAUAGUCAGGCCUGAGUCGCCAAGUGCUGCAGGCUGCUGCGUGCAACUCUGUAGACCCGGCCCUGGCGGCCACGCCUCUCUUCGCAGGGCUGCUCCAGGAAGUGAAACUUGCAAGGGCGGCCUCAGACAGGCUCCCCUCCAGGAGACAGACAUCUUCCUAAAGCCUUGAUUCUUUCACCAGACAGUUAUGGACAAGCACGCAGCCUGUGUCUGAGGUCGGAGGCAGAGUUUCUGCACAGUCCGGUGGGGCGCUGACGUGAAUACAAGGCGCUGAGCCCGGGGCGGGGGGGGCGGGGGGAGCACGAGAAUGGACAGGCAUUUCCUGGGCGCGCUGGAGGAAGAAGCUCUGCCCCCGGCCCUGGCCUGGGGAAUACUCACAGCACGUGACACAGUAUCUUACUGGGGUCUGAAGGAUAGGUCAGGGUUUGAUAGGUAAAAAUAAUAUCAAUAGCAAUCACAAUGUUCUUAUUUACUUACAAUAGGAAGGGACUUAAAAAGUUAGUUAGAAAUGAAGUUAAAAGAUACAUUUACUUGGAUGCAAAAAAAAAUUGAAAUCCAUGCAUACUUUUUUCAUAAUAGGCACUUUCUGUGACCUUGUUGAAGACCUGUCAGAUGUCGGGCAUCCUGAGUACUUUGCAAACACGAUUUCAUGUGAUUUAAGCGACCGGCCGGGUGCCACAGUUACUGCAGAUAUGCCCAUUUCACAGGGGAGGAAACUGAGGGCCAGAGAAUGGGAAGUAACGUGCUCAGAAUGAGGAAGCAGAGCAGGCAGUCAUGAAACCCAGUUCUCCUCGCGCCCAGACCGGACUUCUUCAGUCACAAACGACAACGACGUAAAGGGAGAUGUGUUGAGAACCUUGCUGCCCUCCUGGUGCCUGGGUGCUUCCCAGGGGCUGUCCCUCCCUGGUCCUUAAAGAUGUAAAGUUAAAGCAGUGUCCCAUGUGUUCCCAGUGUUUCCUUAUGCAAAUGUAAACAAGUCUGAACAAAUAUUCUUGUUUCCCUUCCUCUUAGCCAGAGUAGCAGUAGGAACAUUGGCUUAGACUUGUCCAUGCGGCUUUGGAGCGCUUUCCAUCAGAGCAGGAGUGAACUUCCUCAUCAUCGUACACAGCCGGCCAGUGCUCCGCUCCUUGAACCUGGACUUUCUUUUUUUUUUUUUUUUAUUAAGAUUUUUAUUUCUUUCUUUAUUUGACAGGUAGAGUUACAGACAGUGAGAGAGACAGAGGAGAGGUCUUCCUUCCGUUGGUUCACUCCCCAGAUGGCCGCAACGGCCGGAGCUGCGCUGAUCCAAAGCCAGGAGCCGGGUGCUGCUUCCUGGUCUCCCAUGUGGGUGCAGGGGCCCAAGCAUUCGGGCCAUCCUCCACUGCUUUCCCAAGCCAUAGCAGAGAGCUGGACUGGAAGAGGAACAACCGGGACUAGAACUGGCGCCUAUGUGGGAUACUAGCGCCGCAGGCGGAGGAUUAAUCCAGUUCACCACGGCGUCAGCCCCUGAGCCUAGACUUUCAAUCACAAGGCACAGAUCAGCUGCGAAGACGUCCAUGUGCUCUGCUAAGCUCUUUAGAUGUCAUGAGGCGUCAGGCUGCAAAAGGGUGAUGAGACGACUUUGUUUUUUGCAAGAGUCCUUCCUUGAGAUAGGAAGCUGCACACAGCGCAGCCAGCGAGAUACGCAGCCCUACCUGAUAGAGCGCUGCCCCAGUGGUGGCUGGGAAAAAGCCCGUCCAUGGAGCAAGUUCCAGCUUAUCUCUGGCCUUGUUCCUUGCAGCCUUGGGGCCUCUGCUUUCUCAGACGUCCUCCCCGUGCCCUGCCUACAGAACUUUCAUGGAGCUUCCCGUGUCUGGGCUGCAGAAAGCCAGGUAGUCUUACUGCAUCACCUGGGGCUACUUCCCCACUGAUUGUGCAAGAGCUCCAGCCACUUCACAGGUGGUACUUAAAUAGUCCCAGGCCGCUAGUAUUUCCUGGGAAAGUUUGCCAUCAGGGCUGUGACUGACUCAAAGGCCUUUGAAAAAGAGCUGCAGUCAGCACUCCUUCUCUGAAACAGGGGAUUCUCCCAGGGGUUAACAAUACCUGUGGGAUAGCUCCGGGCCUUUGAAAAGUAGCAUUUGCUCUUUAAGGUCAGGAGAUCACGCUUGGUAAAACCUUGCUGCCUUCAAAGAGGUUGUCCAGUUUCCAAAAACUAGCCCCAUCAAACCCACAUGGCCAGGAGUCAGCUGCGUGUGUGUGUUUGCUCAGGUGGAUGGCUUUGGGCCUGAAACACGGGUUCGUUACAGUGAGGAGAGCUGAGCUCCCUUUGCAGUAUAGGCCCCAGUCUGUUCAAAUGCCUCAGCAUCAGCCUUUCUGCCAAAGGAUUCUUAAGAGAAGGGAGCAGAAUCGUUGCAUCACACUUCUCCUGGAUGAAAUCUGCAUAAUGAUGGGGAAUGGCAUAAGCAGAAUGUGAGGCCACCAGCUAGCCAGAAGUCAUGCUGCUCACAGCCCUGUCAAGAACCAGGAGGACCUUUUAGAUGCUGUAUCUUCACAGAAGUCAAAUGAGCUAAGGUCACACAUCCACUUAGUAGCAGAACUAGGCUUGGAAUGCAAGCCUCUUGCCUUCUGGUCCAGAUCCCAAUCUGCUGAAUCGGUGUUUUCCUAUGUGAAUUCUGUAAGGUGUUAAUAGACACCGCAUUCUAGACUGCCAUGGCCAAGUAAGUUCAGCAAAGAUUGGGUUAAAAAAUUACACAUGUGCUUAUGACAGGACUUCUCGGGACCUUUAAACAUCACUGUUUGCUGCGAUUUUCCAGGAGCUGAGAUAGGCAGUGUUCCUGUUUCACUCAUCGUAGAACCCUUUUGCAGCUGGGAUACGUAUUGUGAGAGACGCUGCUUCCGCUCUUAAAUAAGUUCAAUAAUUUUCUAAGGCUGAACUCAUGGGUGAUGUGGUUCCAGCUUUUGUUUAGGAAAUGUUGGGAGCUUUAGUUUAUAUUUCUGGCCUACUGAGGUGAACAUGAUGGAAGGUGGCUGCUAUCCCUGCCUGGAAUGACUGCUGGACUAUCCCAAGAUGGCACGCAGCGCUUUUCAGGAUCACUGCUGUCUUCAACACCAUUUAGUUUUGUUUUCUUAUUGUGGUUACUUUGAGGGCACUUGGAUUCUGCACCUUGUUUGGCCUAGGGAGGAAAGUCUGUUGACAUCUUCUGGUGGCACACCCCUCUGAAGGUGGGCCCAAAUGUAAUAGCAUUCUCUAUUCUUUAAGUUCUUUGUACAAAUCUAUUUAUUAUUUAUUAUUUGUUUGAAAGACAGAGACAGAUAGAGAGGGAAAGGUACUCCAUCCAUUGGCUCAUGCCCCAAAUGCCCACAGCACCAAGGGAUGGGUCAGGCUGAAACUGAAGCCUGGGAUUCAAUCCAGGUCUCUCAUAGGGGUGGCAGGGACACAGCACUUGGCCAUUGCCUGCUUUCUCCCAGGGUGUGCAUCAGCAGGGAACUGGAGUCGGAAGCAGAGCUGGGACUCUAGUACUGGCACACUGGUGUGGUGUACGAACGUCCCACAUGGUGUCCUGACUUCUGCACCAAAUGCCAGACCCUAUGUUCUAGAACUUCUUGAUCUUUUUUGGGACAUGACUCUUUCUGGGUUCGUAUAAAAAAAAGUUAUGGACCUGUUGUGACAUCAAAUGCAUAUUCAUAAUAAAGCUCAUAUUAAAUUUUAGGGUGUUCUUGUGCCCUUUGAAGCCCAUCAAUAAAUCACUGACCUAGAUUCACUGCCCUCCAAAGAGUACUUCCUAAAAUCAGCACACAGAUACACACAUGCGCAACCUAAGGAAUGGUGGUAAGCUACCCUGUUGUCAGUUACUUUUUUCUUUCUUUCGAGUUCUUGGUUCUUGGAGGGCGGCUUGUUGCAGGCUAGUUCCUGUUUCCCUGUGGCUUUGUCAAUCAUGCUGAAGGCCCGCCAAUCGUGUUGCUUCAAGUGCAGAGCUUGGGGAUUUCCUGGAGCUGUUGUUGAAAAAUGCCAGUCCUAGCUUUUUUUUUUUUUUUUUUUUUUAGAAGCUUCCCUUCUAGCUUUUUGGAUUAAAAAAAAAAAAUAAGAAGAGGGGCAGAAGGACAAGACAUAUGCAGAGAAUCACAUGGAAAAAGAGGACAGCUGCAAGCAGUAGGCUGGGCACUACGGCUCUGCCUGUAACUCGCCUGCAGCCAGAUGGUUUCCUCUCCCCAGGCCUCAGUUUGGGUUUGUUGUCUGCUAUCUGAGCAACUUGGGCUCACCCAGCUGCUAGGACCUUCUUCUGUCUCUGAUGGUCCAUGCGAGUGUUAUAAAAAUUUAAUAACAAAAAAAGCUCUCUCAGCUUUCCUCUUCUCUAAAAAAUAUUUGAUUCAUUUAUUUUUAUUUGAAAGGCAGAGAGACAGACUUCUUCCAUCUGCUAAUUCACUCCCCCAGAUGCCCACAAAACUGGGGGUGAAGUCAGGAGCCUGGGACUCAGUCUGGAUCUCCCAUGUGGGCAGCAGGGAUCCAAGUACUUAAGCCAUCACCUGCUGCCUCCCCGGUAUGGGAUGUUAGUGUCCUGCCGCUGCACAGAAGCCCUGCCCUGUUUUCCACUCUUUU